AGUCUGUCGCCGGAAUAGCAUAGACUUUGUGAUUUCUCAUUCAAUUUAUUCGAGACUCGUAUAAAACAAGAUGGGCAAGGAAAAGAUUCACAUCAACAU